rnacentral:rRNA from 1 species
GGACUACCGGGGUAUCUAAUCCUGUUUGCUCCCCACGCUUUCGUACCUCAGCGUCAGUUUGUGUCCAGAAAGUCGCCUUCGCUACUGGUAUUCCUCCUAAUAUCUACGUAUUUCACCACUACACUAGGAAUUCCACUUUCCUCUCCACUACUCAAGUUUAUCAGUUUCCAAUGCUUUACGGGGUUGAGCCCCGAUCUUUAACAUUCGACUUAUUAAACCGCCUGCGUACCCUUUACGCCCAAUAAUUCCGGACAACGCUCGCUCCAUACGUAUUACCGCGGCGGCUGGCAC